rnacentral:rRNA from 1 species
CUUCUUUCCUCCCGAGUGCUUGCACCCAAUUGGAAAGAGGAGUGGCGGACGGGUGAGUAACACGUGGGUAACCUACCCAUCAGAGGGGGAUAACACUUGGAAACAGGUGCUAAUACCGCAUAACAGUUUAUGCCGCAUGGCAUAAGAGUGAAAGGCGCUUUCGGGUGUCGUUGAUGGAUGGACCCGCGGUGCAUUAGCUAGUUGGUGAGGUAACGGCUCACCAAGGCCACGAUGCAUAGCCGACCUGAGAGGGUGAUCGGCCACACUGGGACUGAGACACGGCCCAGACUCCUACGGGAGGCAGCAGUAGGGAAUCUUCGGCAAUGGACGAAAGUCUGACCGAGCAACGCCGCGUGAGUGAAGAAGGUUUUCGGAUCGUAAAACUCUGUUGUUAGAGAAGAACAAGGACGUUAGUAACUGAACGUCCCCUGACGGUAUCUAACCAGAAAGCCACGGCUAACUACGUGCCAGCAGCCGCGGUAAUACGUAGGUGGCAAGCGUUGUCCGGAUUUAUUGGGCGUAAAGCGAGCGCAGGCGGUUUCUUAAGUCUGAUGUGAAAGCCCCCGGCUCAACCGGGGAGGGUCAUUGGAAACUGGGAGACUUGAGUGCAGAAGAGGGGAGUGGAAUUCCAUGUGUAGCGGUGAAAUGCGUAGAUAUAUGGAGGAACACCAGUGGCGAAGGCGGCUCUCU